UAACAUUGCUCCUUGUGUCUAGCUUUUUCUUGGGCAGUGAGAAUCCAGUGAACCUCAUUCUGUUUCAGGAAGGGACCUGUUGGAUGUGAGGGUGAUCUGUCUGCAACAUCUGUCACCCUAUUGAUCACCAGGGUUGAUUCAGCUGAUCUGGCUGGCUAGAUUUCUCAGGUGAUCUGCCAUCAUCUUUCAGGAUCAUGGGCCAGUACUAAUCAGGUUUGCCAGACCCUGCUUAGCUGCCCUUGCCUUCAGCCUGCACUUCCUAAGGAGCAGCACAUCUGCCAUGAUCUCUGGACCAUGACUGGACUUCUCUACUGGAGGGCUUCCUUCUGUGGGAUGUUUCAAUCCUUCCAAAGAUCAGACCCAUAAAUGUUGAGAAAAAAAUAAAGAUUUUGCUGAAAUGUCAGAAAACCUGAGAAUAAACAGUAUGUCUUAAGUUCUCUUUCUUGACAUCUUCAGACAGUUUGCCCUUCUAUGCUAGCUCUUUC